AGAGACCCCGCUGAAGCACGAAGCCAGUGCAUGGGAAGGCACGCGGAGCAAGAGGGAGUCCGGGCGCCAUUGCUGGAGCAGCCCCUGAAGCCGAUGGUCAAACAUGGAAGUCUAUAUUGAAAACACUGGCUGGCUUUUACAACUUCAGUCUGGAUUAAAUGAUUUCAAGUAUACAAGUUAAGUAAAAUACUUUGAAAAUCUCUUUUACCAAGUCUUAUAUUCUAAUUCCACAGGAUAUGAUUUCUGUAUGUCUAUAGGAGGCUUAUUUAUAGGCAUAACGGUCAACACCUAUAAAAAUGAACCAAUUGUCAAUAAUCAUCACAUCUCCUAAACACAAAGAAUAAAUGAAAGGUUUAUAAAUUCUAAUCCUAAUCUCAAAGCAUAAUAGAUAUUUCCUAGGCACAUUUUAACUUAAAAAAUUUGAAAAUUAAAACGUAUUAGAAUUUGAAAAUCAAACAUUUAUCAAUUCAAGUUGAUUUUUAAUGAUCUAAAAGCAGAUUAUCUGUUUUUUCUUUCAUAUUUCUAGCAACGUUCAAGCUACCUGGGCUAUGUGUGUGACGCAAAAGUGUGUGCAUGGGUACUAUGAUAUGUGCAUGUUUGGUUUAUGUUGAAGGAGGCUGUUUUUGAGUCUAAAUGUUCACCUCUGAUCUCAUUCAACACUGAAGAUUAAAAGAGAUUUGAGGUUUUUCUGUGUCUCUAAUACUCUUAAAUAGACCUGGUUCCAAAAGUCUUUAUCCAUUUGUUUUCACAGAAAAUUUCAAAAAUCAAAUUAGCACCAUAAUCUUAUGUGUAAUUAAUAGUUGUAUUGGCAUACAACCCUUGAAAUGAAGCAAUGUCCAACAAGUAAAAUUUC
rnacentral:lncRNA from 10 species